rnacentral:rRNA from 1 species
ACAUGCUGGUUACGCUGUGCGUAGUAUUUAUUAGAUAAAACCCAACGGGGGCGACCCUGUGGAGGAAUCAUAAUAACUUAGCGAACUCGACGUAGUGAAGCAUUCAAGUUUCUGCCCUAUCAGCUUUCGAUGGUAGUGUAUUGGACUACCAUGGCGAUGACGGGUGACGGAUAAUUAGGGUUCGAUUCCGGAGAGGGAGCCUGANAAAUGGCUACCACAUCUAAGGAAGGCAGCAGGCGCGCAAAUUACCCAAUCCUAACUCAGGGAGGUAGUGACAAUAAAUAACAACGCGGGGCUUUGUCUUGCGAUUGNAAUGAGUUAAGUGUAAAACCCUUUUCGAGGACCCACUG